rnacentral:rRNA from 1 species
GAGGACCGAACCGACUAAUGUUGAAAAAUUAGCGGAUGACCUGUGGCUGGGGGUGAAAGGCCAAUCAAACCGGGAGAUAGCUGGUUCUCCCCGAAAGCUAUUUAGGUAGCGCCUCGUGAAUUCAUCUCCGGGGGUAGAGCACUGUUUCGGCUAGGGGGCCAUCCCGGCUUACCAACCCGAUGCAAACUGCGAAUACCGGAGAAUGUUAUCACGGGAGACACACGGCGGGUGCUAACGUCCGUCGUGAAGAGGGAAACAACCCAGACCGCCAGCUAAGGUCCCAAAGUCAUGGUUAAGUGGGAAACGAUGUGGGAAGGCCCAGACAGCCAGGAUGUUGGCUUAGAAGCAGCCAUCAUUUAAAGAAAGCGUAAUAGCUCACUGGUCGAGUCGGCCUGCGCGGAAGAUGUAACGGGGCUAAACCAUGCACCGAAGCUGCGGCAGCGACACUGUGUGUUGUUGGGUAGGGGAGCGUUCUGUAAGCCUGUGAAGGUGUGUCGUGAGGCAUGCUGGAGGUAUCAGAAGUGCGAAUGCUGACAUAAGUAACGAUAAAGCGGGUGAAAAGCCCGCUCGCCGGAAGACCAAGGGUUCCUGUCCAACGUUAAUCGGGGCAGGGUGAGUCGACCCCUAAGGCGAGGCCGAAAGGCGUAGUCGAUGGGAAACGGGUUAAUAUUCCCGUACUUGGUGUUACUGCGAAGGGGGGACGGAGAAGGCUAUGUUGGCCGGGCGACGGUUGUCCCGGUUUAAGCGUGUAGGUGUGUGUUCCAGGUAAAUCCGGUUCACUUUAACACUGAGGCGUGACGACGAGGCACUACGGUGCUGAAGCAACAAAUGCCCUGCUUCCAGGAAAAGCCUCUAAGCAUCAGGUAACAUCAAAUCGUACCCCAAACCGACACAGGUGGUCAGGUAGAGAAUACCAAGGCGCUUGAGAGAACUCGGGUGAAGGAACUAGGCAAAAUGGUGCCGUAACUUCGGGAGAAGGCACGCUGACACGUAGGUGAAGUGAUUUACUCAUGGAGCUGAAGUCAGUCGAAGAUACCAGCUGGCUGCAACUGUUUAUUAAAAACACAGCACUGUGCAAACACGAAAGUGGACGUAUACGGUGUGACGCCUGCCCGGUGCCGGAAGGUUAAUUGAUGGGGUCAGCGCAAGCGAAGCUCCUGAUCGAAGCCCCGGUAAACGGCGGCCGUAACUAUAACGGUCCUAAGGUAGCGAAAUUCCUUGUCGGGUAAGUUCCGACCUGCACGAAUGGCGUAAUGAUGGCCAGGCUGUCUCCACCCGAGACUCAGUGAAAUUGAACUCGCUGUGAAGAUGCAGUGUACCCGCGGCAAGACGGAAAGACCCCGUGAACCUUUACUAUAGCUUGACACUGAACAUUGAGCCUUGAUGUGUAGGAUAGGUGGGAGGCUUUGAAGUGUGGACGCCAGUCUGCAUGGAGCCGACCUUGAAAUACCACCCUUUAAUGUUUGAUGUUCUAACGUGGACCCGUUACCCGGGUUGCGGACAGUGUCUGGUGGGUAGUUUGACUGGGGCGGUCUCCUCCUAAAGAGUAACGGAGGAGCACGAAGGUUGGCUAAUCCUGGUCGGACAUCAGGAGGUUAGUGCAAUGGCAUAAGCCAGCUUGACUGCGAGCGUGACGGCGCGAGCAGGUGCGAAAGCAGGUCAUAGUGAUCCGGUGGUUCUGAAUGGAAGGGCCAUCGCUCAACGGAUAAAAGGUACUCCGGGGAUAACAGGCUGAUACCGCCCAAGAGUUCAUAUCGACGGCGGUGUUUGGCACCUCGAUGUCGGCUCAUCACAUCCUGGGGCUGAAGUAGGUCCCAAGGGUAUGGCUGUUCGCCAUUUAAAGUGGUACGCGAGCUGGGUUUAGAACGUCGUGAGACAGUUCGGUCCCUAUCUGCCGUGGGCGCUGGAGAACUGAGGGGGGCUGCUCCUAGUACGAGAGGACCGGAGUGGACGCAUCACUGGUGUUCGGGUUGUCAUGCCAAUGGCACUGCCCGGUAGCUAAAUGCGGAAGAGAUAAGUGCUGAAAGCAUCUAAGCACGAAACUUGCCCCGAGAUGAGUUCUCCCUGAGACUUAGAGUCUCCUGAAGGAACGUUGAAGACGACGACGUUGAUAGGCCGGGUGUGUAAGCGCAGCGAUGCGUUGAGCUAACCGGUACUAAUGAACCGUGAGGCUUAACCUUACAACGCCG